UACGUAGGGGGCAAGCGUUGUCCGGAAUCAUUGGGCGUAAAGAGCGUGUAGGCGGCCCGAUAAGUCCGUUGUGAAAGUCCAGGGCUCAACCCUGGAAUGCCGGUGGAUACUGUCGGGCUCGAAUCCGGAAGAGGUGAGUGGAAUUCCUGGUGUAGCGGUGAAAUGCGCAGAUAUCAGGAGGAACACCAAUGGCGAAGGCAGCUCACUGGGACGGUAUUGACGCUGAGACGCGAAAGCGUGGGGAGCAAACAGG
rnacentral:rRNA from 1 species